GAUGAAGAACGCAGCGAAAUGCGAUAAGUAAUGUGAACUGCAGAAUUCAGUGAAUCAUCGAAUCUUUGAACGCACAUUGCGCCCGCCAGUAUUCUGGCGGGCAUGCCUGUUCGAGCGUCAUUUCAACCAUCAAGCCCCAGGCUUGUGUUGGAGCCCUGCGGCUGCCGCAGCCUCCCAAAACCAGUGGCGGGCUCGCUAUCACACCGAGUGCAGUAGUUUACUCUUCGCUCAGGGCGUGUGGCGGGUGCUAGCCGUGAAACCCCCAACUUCUCAAGGUUGACCUCGGAUCAGGUAGGAAUACCCGCUGAACUUAAGCAUAUCAAUAAGCGGAGGA
rnacentral:misc_RNA from 1 species